rnacentral:rRNA from 1 species
GAUGAACGCUGGCGGCGUGCCUAAUACAUGCAAGUCGAGCGAACAGACGAGGAGCUUGCUCCUUUGACGUUAGCGGCGGACGGGUGAGUAACACGUGGAUAACCUACCUAUAAGACUGGGAUAACUUCGGGAAACCGGAGCUAAUACCGGAUAACAUGUUGAACCGCAUGGUUCAACAGUGAAAGACGGUCUUGCUGUCACUUAUAGAUGGAUCCGCGCCGCAUUAGCUAGUUGGUAAGGUAACGGCUUACCAAGGCAACGAUGCGUAGCCGACCUGAGAGGGUGAUCGGCCACACUGGAACUGAGACACGGUCCAGACUCCUACGGGAGGCAGCAGUAGGGAAUCUUCCGCAAUGGGCGAAAGCUUGACGGAGCAACGCCGCGUGAGUGAAGAAGGUCUUCGGAUCGUAAAACUCUGUUAUUAGGGAAGAACAAAUGUGUAAGUAACUAUGCACGUCUUGACGGUACCUAAUCAGAAAGCCACGGCUAACUACGUG